AUUGUAACAGCAACUAAAUGAAGACAUUAUGUGUGUGCCCCAGCACACAAGCAGUGGGCAAGGAGGAAGCAAAUGACCAUUCUAAGGGGCCUUGCAAAAGACCUGGUUUUUUUUCUUUCUGAGUAAUAAGGCUAAUAUUUGUUAUAAAGGAGGCGCUCAGCAGGCUCCCCUCUCAGGAGCCAUAUGUGGAGUUGAUGUGCCAGCAGCCUUGGAAGGAAAAGAGCCUCGGAGAAGUGCACAAUGGCUCCAUAAUCCCCAUCAACUGGACCCUCUUGAACCGCGGCUUUCUUUCCCAGUCAAAGAAACGCCAGUUUCAAGAGUCAAGCUGUGGCUGUCCUGGGAACCCUGGGGGAGGGUGAGGCUUUUUACCCACAAAGCCACCUCCGCCGGCCCAGCCUCUCCCCGAGCCGUAGACCACAGCGCACACCCUCAGCAGAGCCACAGCCCCGCCCCCUUGCACCGGGUCGCGCAGAGGGU